AUGAGAAACUGCUCCUUUGACUUAUCUGGAAUCAACUCCAGCACGCGUGCCUGGGAGAAGAAAAAUGAGUAUAUGUUUGGAAUGCCUGAAUCUGCUGUGAUUGUAGAAAAACUGGGCAUGAAUGGAUCUCAUUUCUUGAAUAUAUCAGAUUAUGAGCUGAGCCGGUUCAAAAUAAUGCACCAGCCAAAUCCCAUCACAGGUGUACCAAGAGCAUGGCUGCAGAUGGAGCCAUGCACAGAUAUGCUUUCCUGACUUCUGCACCAAAUACCUCUGCUAACUCAAUGGAAGGUUGUUUUCCCUCUAGACAAUACUAUACCUGUUCUUUUAGGGGGAAAAGAUUACAGGAGCAAAAAAGACAAAAUGUUUUCUCUGGGAAGAGUUUAUUGUAGCAAUUCUGGGUUGAUACUCUGAAAUAAACAUUUUUAGCUACUUUUUGUUUAGUUCUGU
rnacentral:lncRNA from 14 species